UCCGAGGUAGUGCAACGGAGCACAAUCAGACAUACUUACCUGAACUUCCUGGGUUCAAAUCCCAGUCUCGGAA